rnacentral:rRNA from 1 species
GUGGGGAAUAUUGCACAAUGGGGGAAACCCUGAUGCAGCGACGCCGCGUGGAGGAUGACGGCCUUCGGGUUGUAAACUCCUUUUGUCAGGGACAAUGGUGAUGGUACCUGACGAAUAAGCCACGGCUAACUCUGUGCCAGCAGCCGCGGUAAGACAGAGGUGGCGAGCGUUGUUCGGAAUUACUGGGCUUAAAGGGCGCGUAGGCGGUGGUGUAAGUCUGGGGUGGAAUGCUACAGCUCAACUGUAGAGCUGCCUUGGAAACUGCAUUACUUGAGUCGGUGAGGGGAAGGCGGAAUUCCUGGUGUAGCGGUGAAAUGCGUAGAUAUCAGGAGGAAGGUCUGUGGCGAAGGCGGCCUUCUGGACAUUAACUGACGCUGAGGCGCGAAAGCGUGGGGAGCAAACAGGAUUAGAAACCCCAGUAGUCC